rnacentral:rRNA from 1 species
UACGUAGGGGGCAAGCGUUGUCCGGAAUCAUUGGGCGUAAAGAGCGUGUAGGCGGCUCGAUAAGUCUGCUGUGAAAGUCCAGGGCUCAACCCUGGAAGGCCGGUGGAAACUGUCGGGCUAGAGUCCGGAAGAGGCGAGUGGAAUUCCCGGUGUAGCGGUGAAAUGCGCAGAUAUCGGGAGGAACACCAAUGGCGAAGGCAGCUCGCUGGGACGGUACUGACGCUGAGACGCGAAAGCGGUGGGGAGCAAACAGGG